rnacentral:rRNA from 1 species
GACGAACGCUGGCGGCGUGCCUAAUACAUGCAAGUCGAACGCACUCUCGUUUAGAUUGAAGGAGCUUGCUCCUGAUUGAUAAACAUUUGAGUGAGUGGCGGACGGGUGAGUAACACGUGGGUAACCUGCCCUAAAGUGGGGGAUAACAUUUGGAAACAGAUGCUAAUACCGCAUAAAACCUAACACCGCAUGGUGUAGGGUUGAAAGAUGGUUUCGGCUAUCACUUUAGGAUGGACCCGCGGUGCAUUAGUUAGUUGGUGAGGUAAAGGCUCACCAAGACCGUGAUGCAUAGCCGACCUGAGAGGGUAAUCGGCCACACUGGGACUGAGACACGGCCCAGACUCCUACGGGAGGCAGCAGUAGGGAAUCUUCCACAAUGGACGAAAGUCUGAUGGAGCAACGCCGCGUGAGUGAAGAAGGUUUUCGGAUCGUAAAACUCUAGUUGUUGGAGAAGAAUGUAUCUGAUAGUAACUGAUCAGGUAGUGACGGUAUCCAACCAGAAAGCCAACGG